UUUAUCAUGUUUGUUCCUCUCUUCUGGAGAGAUAGCCCACACACUGAGGUCACCUGGAGACGGAGAGAGGGUGUCAAACUGUUUAUCAUGUUUCUUCCUCUCUUCUGGAGAGAUAGCCCACACACUGAGGUCACCUGGAGACGGAGAGAGGGUGUCAAACUGUUUAUCAUGUUUGUUCCUCUCUUCUGGAGAGAUAGCCCACACACUGAGGUCACCUGGAGACGGAGAGAGGGUGUCAAACUGUUUAUCAUGUUUCUUCCUCUCUUCUGGAGAGAUAGCCCACACACUGAGGUCACCUGGAGACGGAGAGAGGGUGUCAAACUGUUUAUCAUGUUUGUUCCUCUCUUCUGGAGAGAUAGCCCACACACUGAGGUCACCUGGAGACGGAGAGAGGGUGUCAAACUGUUUAUCAUGUUU